rnacentral:rRNA from 1 species
AUGAACGCUGGCGGCGUGCCUAAUACAUGCAAGUCGAGCGAACGGACGAGAAGCUUGCUUCUCUGAUGUUAGCGGCGGCCGGGUGAGUAACACGUGGAUAACCUACCUAUAAGACUGGGAUAACUUCGGGAAACCGGAGCUAAUACCGGAUAAUAUUUUGAACCGCAUGGUUCAAAAGUGAAAGACGGUCUUGCUGUCACUUAUAGAUGGAUCCGCGCUGCAUUAGCUAGUUGGUAAGGUAACGGCUUACCAAGGCAACGAUGCAUAGCCGACCUGAGAGGGUGAUCGGCCACACUGGAACUGAGACACGGUCCAGACUCCUACGGGAGGCAGCAGUAGGGAAUCUUCCGCAAUGGGCGAAAGCCUGACGGAGCAACGCCGCGUGAGUGAUGAAGGUCUUCGGAUCGUAAAACUCUGUUAUUAGGGAAGAACAUAUGUGUAAGUAACUGUGCACAUCUUGACGGUACCUAAUCAGAAAGCCACGGCUAACUUCGUG